UGGAUAGAGGCCCGCUGGUUAGGGCGCUUAGCUGUUGACUAAGAGCUUGUGGGAUCGAGGCCCUCUUAUCUAG
rnacentral:tRNA from 1 species